AGCAAAAUGAUGAUGAACUAUUAGCCUAAUUUUAUGCUGAAGAAACAUAUGAUAUGCCUUCAAAGUUCUCUGAUUGAC
rnacentral:snoRNA from 1 species